UGGGCAGCUCUGCCUGUGAGGAGCACAGCCUGAGAGAUAACAGAAAAGCAGGAGGGAAGAGGAUUCCGGAGCACAGAGGGCAGAGCCAGGAGAACCGCAGCCACAAAAUAUUUUGUUGCAGUGCAGGGAAGUCUUCAGCAUCCCUCCCAGCAAGCUGGUACCACUGUCCAGGAAAGAUGUCAUGGUCCAUAACCAUAGGAUGCUUGGGUUCCAAGACCCAACUCCUCCUCCAAAGACUGUGUGUGUGCUUCCAAAAACUAUAGAAUCUGCUCCAGAAGAGUGCAGGCAAGGAAUGAAGGACCCUGGAGAAGAAACACUUUCGGGCCCUGGAAGCUGGCGAGCUCCUAUCUUCAGACUGGUGAGGCUGCAGCUGGGUUACAGUGGGUCGCUGGGGGGAGGCUGUGCUCAUAGCAGUGGUGAAUAGGGUGGGAACCCCCUGGGAAUGAGGACAAAAGGAGUUUCCAGCUGAAGAACUCAGAGAAGGAAGAACGUGAUGGCGUUUUAGGGUGCAGUGGGCCAGGGCUGCUGGCAUGGAGACUGGGGCUGCCUCCAGCAGCGGGGAGCAGCACAAAUCAGAACUCACUGCCUUUCUCGAACCGUGCCCUUCUUUGAAGAUAUUUGUGCAGUUAGGAAUUUGCCGUGUUUACUCCCAGGUCAGACAAAACACGGGGGAUUCAAAAC
rnacentral:lncRNA from 1 species